rnacentral:misc_RNA from 1 species
CCAAUAGCGUAUAUUAAAGUUGUUGCAGUUAAAAAGCUCGUAGUUGAAUUUCGGGAUUGACGUGAUGGUCAUGCCUUAAGGGGUAUGAACUGUUGCUGUUGAUUUCUCACCUUCUGGAGAAACUUGAUGUCCUUUAUUGGGUGUCUUGCGGAUCCAGGACCUUUACCUUGAAAAAAUUAGAGUGUUUAAAGCAGGCAUUUUUGCUCGAAUACAUUAGCAUGGAAUAAUAGAAUAGUACGGCAUGGUUCUAUUUUGUUGGUUUCUAGGAUCACCGUAAUGAUUAAUAGGGAUAGUUGGGGGCAUUAGUAUUCAAUUGUCAGAGGUGAAAUUCUUGGAUUUAUUGAAGACUAACUACUGCGAAAGCAUUUGCCAAGGAUGUUUUCAUUAAUCAAGAACGAAAGUUAGGGGAUCGAAGACGAUCAGAUACCGUCGUAGUCUUAACCAUAAACUAUGCCGACUAGGAAUCAGACGAUGUUAAUUUUUUAAUGACUCGUUUGGCACCUUACG